rnacentral:lncRNA from 1 species
CUGCCACGUCACAUUUUCAUUAUCAAUUAUCCAAGACCAAUACAUUAGUUUUAAAUUCCUCAGAAGAAGAAAAAAAAAAAAAAAACACAUUAGUUUUGCAUCAGAGCAUGUCGCAACAUCAAUUCAAUCAUCCCUUUUUGGUUUUCCAGAUACUACGCUAUUUCAAUAAAUUAUCAAAUUACAAUGUAAAAAUUAACAUUAAAAAUAUAUUUUAAGAAAAGAUCAUAACAAGAAGAAGAAGAAGAAGGCAGUGGUUGCUUUAUGUUAUCAACACAGAACGGAUAUUAGCAAAGAGAAAAGAAAACACAAUCUGCAGCAGAAUAGUAAUAAAGAAAGAACAUCCUUCUGCAUCAUUCAUCCUCAAACUUUUCCUCGUACCAACAAAAACCAUCAAGGCAACUCGCAUGUUGAUGAUAUACAAGGGCUGGACAAUUAAAUAUUGUCUUACAUGAAAAUUUACCUACAUUGUCAAACAAGAAGAUUUUUUUUUUACUAAAAUGUGAUGAAAUAUUGUAUCCAAGAUAAAUUAGAAAAAAAAUGUAAAUUGUGUCAAAAAUGUC